CUGCAGUUUAAAACUAAUUUGCUUUCUCUCCUUCCCAGUUCUAUCUUCGACAUGAAAUAUUAAAUCUGUUGCUUUUCCACAGAAGCUGCCUGACCUGCUGACUGUUUCCAGCAUAGUUUAUUGAGAAGGGAAUUAGAGAAAAAAAUGAGGAUACGGGAAGAGUGGAGGAGGAGAUUGACAGCAUUGAUCCUUGAAGCUCAGUGGGGCAAAUAGCCUCCUUCUGUUGUAUGGUAAUGUCUGGGAACAUCGGAGCCUUCCAAACUUAAUAUUAGAUUCUCCAAAUUAAGUCUUACAAAAGCCAGUCAUCUGAGAAGACUGUGGAGAGUCCUACUCAAAUACAGUUCUACUCAGAAAAUUUCCGUCAUUCUAUAUGCAGAACUUCAUUCUAACCAGCAGAUUUAAGAAGAUCCAAUCCUAAAGCUGAUAUGACUCAAGCAAGACUAUGUCACUGCACCAAAUUUCUUCACAGUUAUUUUCACCAUAAUGCAAUACCUCAUCUCAAAAAGCUUUCUGCUGGAAUGGACCCUAACUACAUGGCAAAUUGGAAACUGUUUAACCUCCAUCACGAUCACUCCAGAACCAAAGUCACUCCAAACUCAGUUCAUCUGAGAGGAUAGAGACAAGAAGUGUGAAUAAGGGAAAAAGCUACAGAAGAAGAAUGAUAUGAAAAAUACAGUAUGAAAGCAUCCAUUUUUGGAAUAAGCAUAGAAAAGCAUAUUUUCAAUAAAACUUACUAAUAAAAAUUUGAAGAUCCUUAACAACGAUCAUAGGAGAAGACAUUUGCUUUCUGAAUUGCUUUCUGUGUAUGCAUAUUGUCUUCUUAGCUUUUAUUGUUCACAGUACAGAGGCAUCAAUAGAAAGAUCGAUUUAUUUUCCAUCCCUAAAGUACCCCCUCAACCACAUGACAUUCUAAUUAAUUUCAGAGGGAAGUUGAAUCAACUGGAUCAGCAUGGGUCAGAAGUCACAUUUGGAUUUUCCCUGGUUGACAUUAGUGAACCACAUGGAGUUUAUCCAAUAGGUUUACCAGCAAUGCAGAAUUUUGCUGGUCAACAUUAAUGAAAAUACUUUUUUAAAUUUCAGAAUUACUUAUUUUAGUUUAAUUUAUUCUGCUGGGGUUGAAACUUCAUCUAGGUUUCAGAUCAAUUGUUCAAAUCAAUAGUUCACUCAAGUUCAGUAACUUAAAACACUAAAAUUUCAUACCACCUUACUCUUAUAAAGGUUUUGGAUUAGGUCACACUCAGAGCACAAUAUGCUCUUUACCUGAGGAAGGAUAUUUGUGCCUUCCAGACUACAGCAAAG